rnacentral:rRNA from 1 species
CCUACGGGAGGCAGCAGUGAGGAAUAUUGGUCAAUGGGCGGAAGCCUGAACCAGCCAAGUCGCGUGAGGGAUUCAGGCCCUGCGGGUCGUAAACCUCUUUUACCGGGGAGCAGUGGUCCGGGCGCCUCCGGACCGGGAGAGUACCCGGAGAAACAGCAUCCGCUAACUCCGUGCCAGCAGCCGCGGUACGACGGGGGAUGCGAGAGUUAUCCGGUUUUAUUUGGUUGAAAGGGUGCGUUGGCGGGCAUUUAAGCCGGCGGUCAAAUGUCGGGGCUCAACCCCGGCCUGCCGUCGGAACUGGGUGCCUUGAGUGGGCGAGAAGUAUGCGGAAUGCGUGGUGUAGCGGUGAAAUGCAUAGAUAUCACGCAGAACCCCGAUUGCGAAGGCAGCAUACCGGCGCCCUACUGACGCUGAGGCACGAAAGUGCGGGUAUCGAACAGGAUUAGAUACCCUUGUAGUC